rnacentral:rRNA from 1 species
GACCCGCACAAGCGGUGGAGCAUGUGGUUUAAUUCGAUGCAACGCGAAAAACCUUACCUACUCUUGACAUACUUGGGAGCUCUUGUAAUGAGAGUGUGCCUUAUGGAACCAAGAUACAGGUGCUGCAUGGCUGUCGUCAGCUCGUGUCGUGAGAUGUUCCGUUAAGUCGGAUAACGAGCGCAACCCUUACCCUUAUUUGCCAGCGAUUCGGUCGGGAACUAUAAGGGGACUGCCGGUGAUAAACCGGAGGAAGGUGAGGACGACGUCAAGUCAUCAUGGCCCUUACGAGUAGGCUACACACGUGCUACAAUGGGAAUACAGACGGACGCUAAGCCGCGAGGUGGUGCUAAUCCUAGAAAGUUUCUCGUAGUCCGGA